AAUUUUCCUACUAGUAUUCCUGGUGGGCCUUUUGGAGACCCAGCUGGUGGAGGAUGGCUUAACCAUAGGACUUGUCAUUUCUGUAGGAGUUGCUGGAAAUAAACUCAGGUGGAGUUAUAGUGCUUGUGUGUCCAUGUAUGAGCUCCUGGAGGGGUAAGUGCCAUGAUCUUGCCUGCAGGCUUGUGGAAACCUUUGUGACAACUGGGGAAAGGGUGCAACAAGCCCGUUUGCAGAAGAGACCACAAGUUUGGGCCACUCUGACCUAGAUAUGUGUGCAGACUCAUUCUGUCUUUAUUCCUCUUAAUAUCUCUUUGUCAUUCCUCAUCUUUUUUCCUUUUGGUACUUCAUUAUAUGUAAUGUCUUCAGCUUUAUUUUCUAGUUUUUAAAUAUAUUUUAAAAAUUUUUAGUUAUAGAUGAACACAAUAUCUUUAUUUUGUGUACUUGUUUUUAUGUGGUGCUGAGAAUCUAAUCCAGUGCCUCCCAUGUGCAAAGCAAGUGCUCUGCCACUGAGCCACAAUUCCAGCCCUAUCUACUAGUUUUAUAGUUGAAAACUUUAAUCUACAGAUGAGCCACUUGUUUUUGUAAAUUAAGUCUUAUUGGACCACAGCCAUGCUUGUGUGACAUGUACACAAAACAUAUUUACAUACUCACCAUGGCUGCUUUUAUACUACUAAAG
rnacentral:lncRNA from 1 species